rnacentral:rRNA from 1 species
UACGGGGGGGGCAAGCGUUGUUCGGAAUUACUGGGCGUAAAGGGCUCGUAGGCGGCCAACUAAGUCCUACGUGAAAUCCCCCGGCUUAACCGGGGAACUGCGUCUGAUACUGGAUGGCUUGAGUUCGGGAGAGGGAUGCGGAAUUCCAGGUGUAGCGGUGAAAUGCGUAGAUAUCAGGAGGAACACCGGUGGCGAAGGCGGGUCUCUGGGCAGUAACUGACGCUGAGGAGCGAAAGCGUGGGGAGCGAACAGG